CGUGUAGGCGGUUAGGCAAGUCAGAUGUGAAAGCCCUGGGCUCAACUCAGGAAGUGCAUUUGAAACUGUUUAACUAGAAUAAGAGAGAGGAAAGUGGAAUUCCUGGUGUAGAGGUGAAAUUCGUAGAUAUCAGGAGGAACACCGGUGGCGAAGGCGGCUUUCUGGCUCUAUACUGACGCUGAGACGCGAAAGCGUGGGGAGCAAACAGGAUUAGAUACCCUGGUAGUCC
rnacentral:rRNA from 1 species